rnacentral:rRNA from 1 species
UACAGAGGUGGCAAGCGUUGUUCGGAUUUAUUGGGCGUAAAGGGUGCGUAGGCGGUCAGCACAAGUCAGUUGUGAAAUCUCCGGGCUUAACUCGGAAAGGUCAACUGAUACUGUGCGACUAGAGUGCGGAAGGGGCAACUGGAAUUCUCGGUGUAGCGGUGAAAUGCGUAGAUAUCGAGAGGAACACCUGCGGCGAAGGCGGGUUGCUGGGCCGACACUGACGCUGAUGCGCGAAAGCCAGGGGAGCGAACGGG